AGAGAGAGAGGGGGAGUGUUUGUGGGGCUGGAGGGGUGCAGCACCCUGCCAUUUGGGCUGUCGUAGGCAGGAACGGGAUGACUAAACUGCCUGAUCCUUCCCCAAGCCCAUUCUAGACUUCAUAGAGGGACUGUGAAUGGGGCAGCCCCAGUCUCUGCAGCUGCUGCUUCUGCUCUCUCCCAGGACUGGCUUGGGACCAGCUAUCUGAGGGUGAAGUUGUCCAGCGAUGGCUCAGCAAAGGCUCCCAAGGCUUCUUCAUUCAGCAAAGGCCCUUGGGAAAAACCCUUCAUGGCGUCGGAGAACACGCAUGGGGUGGGGAAUUCACUCCUCACUCAGAGAGUUCCCACUCCUCACUGUUACCCUGCUAAGAGCGCAGAGUCAAGAAAGGAGAGGCUGCUUCAGCUCAUGUCUAAGUAAUGUGGGAGCACGUUUGCCUCCAUGCCCAACUCCUCCCUCCUCCCUUGGUACCCAUCAGCCUUACUCACAUGUCUCAAGGCCAGUUUGUUUUGGGUCCUCAGCUCUCCUGCAAGAGUCUUCAGGCACUGUAAGUUGAAGGAGGGAGUGGGCAUGCAGGGGAGGGAAGGACUG
rnacentral:sRNA from 1 species